UGGGGAAUAUUGCACAAUGGGCGCAAGCCUGAUGCAGCCAUGCCGCGUGUAUGAAGAAGGCCUUCGGGUUGUAAAGUACUUUCAGCGAGGAGGAAGGCGUUGUGGUUAAUAACCGCAACGAUUGACGUUACUCGCAGAAGAAGCACCGGCUAACUCCGUGCCAGCAGCCGCGGUAAUACGGAGGGUGCAAGCGUUAAUCGGAAUUACUGGGCGUAAAGCGCACGCAGGCGGUCUGUCAAGUCGGAUGUGAAAUCCCCGGGCUCAACCUGGGAACUGCAUCCGAAACUGGCAGGCUAGAGUCUUGUAGAGGGGGGUAGAAUUCCAGGUGUAGCGGUGAAAUGCGUAGAGAUCUGGAGGAAUACCGGUGGCGAAGGCGGCCCCCUGGACAAAGACUGACGCUCAGGUGCGAAAGCGUGGGGAGCAAACAGG
rnacentral:rRNA from 2 species